AUGAAACAGGCAAAUACUCGAUCUGGUAUCUUCUCAGUCCGGAGUGCAUAUAGGUUGGCGGUCUCAAUCCAGAACCAAACUAGUCACUCAACCUCCAGUUCCACAAAUGAGGCGGAGGACCAUAGCAUCUGGGAUGUUGUUUGGAAAGCUAAUAUCCCUGAGAAAAUUAAAAUUUUCGGUUGGAGAGUUGCCACAAGAACUUGCAAACUUCAGUGA
rnacentral:rRNA from 1 species